UCGAGAAUCUUCGGCAAUGGGCGCAAGCCUGACCGAGCGACGCCGCGUGGAGGAUGAAGGCCUUCGGGUUGUAAACUCCUGUCGAGGGGGAGAAAGGCGCAAGCUUGAUCUAUCCCUGGAGGAAGCACGGGCUAAGUUCGUGCCAGCAGCCGCGGUAAGACGAACCGUGCGAACGUUGUUCGGAUUCACUGGGCUUAAAGGGCGCGUAGGCGGUGCGCCAAGUCUUGGGUGAAAUCUUUCGGCUCAACCGGAAAAGUGCCUGAGAUACUGGCGUGCUCGAGGGAGAUAGGGGUCAUGGGAACUACCAGUGGAGCGGUGAAAUGCGUUGAGAUUGGUAGGAACGCCGGUGGCGAAAGCGCAUGACUGGGUCUCUUCUGACGCUGAGGCGCGAAAGCCAGGGGAGCAAACGGGAUUAGAUACCCCGGUAGUCCUGGCCUUAAACGAUGGGCACUAGGCAGCGGACUUGACAUGGGUUCACUGCCGAAGCAAAAGUGAUUA
rnacentral:rRNA from 1 species